GCCAGACUCCUACGGGAGGCAGCAGUGGGGAAUAUUGCACAAUGGGGGAAACCCUGAUGCAGCGACGCCGCGUGAGUGAAGAAGUAUUUCGGUAUGUAAAGCUCUAUCAGCAGGAACGAGACAAGACGGUACCUGACUAAGAAGCCCCGGCUAACUACGUGCCAGCAGCCGCGGUAAUACGUAGGGGGCAAGCGUUAUCCGGAAUCACUGGGUGUAAAGGGAGCGUAGACGGCUGAGCAAGCCUGAAGUGAAAGGCGGGGGCCCAACCCCCGGACUGCUUUGGGAACUGUACGGCUGGAGUGCAGGAGAGGUAAGUGGAAUUCCUAGUGUAGCGGUGAAAUGCGUAGAUAUUAGGAGGAACACCAGUGGCGAAGGCGGCUUACUGGACUGUAACUGACGUUGAGGCUCGAAAGCGUGGGGAGCAAACAGGAUUAGAUACCCCGGUAC
rnacentral:rRNA from 1 species